CGUGGUGCCUCCAUUGUUACUGAAGUCAGGUGUGAUUUGAGUUUGAGAAUGAGGUCCGGAGGUGCUGCAGUACAGCAUCACCUGUCAGGAGCUGCCCUAAGGUUCUGGAGUUGAGAGAAAUAUAUCAGCGCCGACCAUUCACCACACCACUCAAAAUACUAUAGACUCACGACUGAAGGAGUACAUUGAGAGUUUGAUGGGGAGAGAGCAACGAUCACAGAGGUGAAAGUUAAGACCCUCGCUCCGAGGAGAGUUCCCGGGCCAGUGAUCUCAUCAGUCUGAUUUUGUCUUUUCCAGGGGAAGAUUAUGCAAGCCACACCAUUGAUAGAAGGAUUUCAGAGGAUGUAGCCAGCCUGUACAGCCGAGGAAUCAGUGCCCGAACCGAACAGUCAGACGUUUCUGAAGAUGUUGCUACAGCAGCCAGUGACAGCUUGGAUACAUUAAAAAG